AAAUGAAGGAGACGAGGGAGUCUUGGUCUGGAGGCACUGGGGUCCGGGCUCCUUAAGCAAGGACAAACAUGGAGAUGCAGCCUGACAGAGGCAGCACCUGUGUACCACCUAUAAGAUUGGCAAAAUUCGGUGAAAUCUGUAACCAUCUCUUCUACCUGGGGAGAGAUCAGCAGCCUCCUACUUCAUAUCAGAGAUCAUCAAUAGUGUUCUGCUGUGCUGCUCCCUUCUGACCUGCCUCUGGACACCCUGCUAGCUUACCCCUGUGCAUCUCCUCUUCUCCUCCAUGAUGUAGUCAACCCUGUACGCUUAGAGGUCUCCUGCUAGACUUUAAAGUCCUCACGCAUGAGAAUUUUGUCCUGUAUGGUUUUAUAAUCUAGUUACCUGUGAGCAUCUGAAAAUAGCAGGCAUAUCCCAGAAGAAAUGCACAAAUGAACAAAUGAGCAAACAAACUUCUAAUUCCUACCAACCUCUCUCCUUUUGUCUCCCUUUGACUUCACAAACUCCUAUAGGAGUACCAAGAUACAACUCAGGGCCUUUGGGAGAAGUUUUUCACUGAAAGUUCAUAACUCUCACAUAUCACACCUGAUGAUGAACUUGGAGCAAGUGAAUCUGAUACAUUUCAUUCACUCCUACAUGGCAGUCACAGUGGCUUUCUCACUGUCCUUGUUUGCUCUACUCCUGAUGCACUGUGGGGCCUCCAUGACUUCUUUUCACAUUUGCACUUGCUGUUUCCUCUCCUUGGAAGGCCUUUCUUCCAAUAUCCACGUGGCGUUUUUCAGGUUGUUCCACAAAUACUGCCUUCUCAUUGAAGCCUUACAUGCCCAACUCACUCAAUAUUUUCUCUCACCUUUUCCAGUGGAAGUAUUUCAAAUAGAAUUAAGCCUUGUCUCCAUUUACAAUACUAUACUUCUUACUCAAUUAUUUUAUGUGCCUGUCUUCCAUCCUUUUAAUAUAAGCUUCAUGAAGGAUAAAGCAGACCCAAGAACCAUGCCUGGAUAAUUGGACCAUCACAUAUCUUUGCUACAGUGAUUGCAUUAAGCAUGGGCAUAUGAUUUAAAUCAUGUCCUCACCUGGAGUUUUCUGACAGACCUGGCAGGAAAACAAAAAUAAAAACCGAACUAUUUCAUCCUAGUAAAUUUCUAAACAAAUAAAUGUGAUUCUUCCACAAAUAGGGGCUGUUUGCUUACCAUGUGGAAACAAAGGGAAAAAGACAAAAUCCUGGUAACACCCUUGGUCCUAAAGACUUAAUGGUGCCUAAAGCAAGUAUAGUUCUUUAGCUUUUUAGUUAUAUGUGUUAAUAUCAUUUUUGAUUAAGCUUGCUUAAAUUGUGCUUAAAUGAUCCUUAACAUUAUAAGCCCCUUGUUUCAGCCCCAAUACCCACACACUCUUGAAUGGACCUCCUCUGUGUGAUGUGCCUACUCACCUGGUCCUGGUUUCUUGACUCCUGGACAGGUUCACAGUGUGGCAUAUACAUGAUGUGUCUUUUUUGCCUUAAUGUGUGUACAUGUCAUCACCAAGAGUGGUUAAUAAAAUUUUUUCAAUAUUUAGUCUACAACUGA